rnacentral:rRNA from 1 species
AUUGAACGCUGGCGGCAUGCCUAACACAUGCAAGUCGAACGGAGGUAGGGGCAACUCUACUUCAGUGGCGGACGGGUGAGGAAUGCGUCGGAAUCUACCCUAUGGUGGGGGAUAACACAGGGAAACUUGUGCUAAUACCGCAUAAUGUCGAGAGACCAAAGCAGGGGACCGCAAGGCCUUGCGCGAUAGGAUGAGCCGACGCCCGAUUAGCUAGUUGGUAGGGUAAAGGCCUACCAAGGCGACGAUCGGUAGCUGGUCUGAGAGGAUGAUCAGCCACACUGGGACUGAGACACGGCCCAGACUCCUACGGGAGGCAGCAGUGGGGAAUAUUGGACAAUGGGCGCAAGCCUGAUCCAGCAAUGCCGCGUGUGUGAAGAAGGCCUGCGGGUUGUAAAGCACUUUUGUUCGGGAAGAAAUCAUGUCGGUUAAUACCCGAUGUGGAUGACGGUACCGAAAGAAUAAGCACCGGCUAACUUCGUGCCAGCAGCC